GCCCAUCAGCUAGCCCCACCCUUAUAAUUAACAAAUCACUUUUAUUAACCCUUAACCCACCCCCCCCCACCACUUAAUUAAACCAUUCUACCCCCUUAGUAUAGGCGACAGAAAAGGAAAUUGUGGAGCUAUAGUUCAAGUACCGCAAGGGAAAGCUGAAAGAGAGGUGAAACAGUCCAGUAAAGCUCAAAAAAGCAGAGAUUUAACCUCGUACCUUUUGCAUCAUGAUUUAGCUAGCAUCUUCAGGCAAGGAGCGCUUUAGUCUGAGACCCCGAAACUAAGUGAGCUACUCCAAGACAGCCUAUAAAUUAGGGCAAACCCGUCUCUGUGGCAAAAGAGUGGGAAGAGCUUCGAGUAGAGGUGAUAAACCUACCGAACUUAGUUAUAGCUGGUUGCCUGGGAAAUGGAUAGGAGUUCAGCCUCCCGGAUUCUCAUUUCACCUUUUGUUUACAUACCUUCGGAAGCCUAGAGAAACCAAGAGAGUUAUUCAAAGGGGGUACAGCCCCUUUGAAACAGGACACAACCUUUGAAGCUGGGUAAAGAUCAUAUUAUUUAAGGAGAAAACUGUGUUAGUUGGCCUAAAAGCAGCCACCUCAAAAGAAAGCGUUAAAGCUUAUACGUGUAUUUUGCCCUACGAUUCUGAUCAUUUAAUCUCACCCCCCUUUGAUUUACCAAGCCACCCUAUGCUAACAUAGAGGAGACCAUGCUAAUAUGAGUAAUAAGAGAACCCCUGUUUCUCUCUCUAGCACACGCAUAACUCGGAACGGACCCCCCACCGAAUAUUAACGGCCCCAAAUAAAGAGGGUACUGAAGAAGGACCUGAAGACCAGAAAACCUUUCAAUAAACUACCGUUAACCCUACACUGGUGUGCCCCCUGAGAAAGACUAAUAGAAAGAGAAGGAACUCGGCAAAAAUACCUUACAAGCCUCGCCUGUUUACCAAAAACAUCGCCUCUUGCAAAACUGAAGUAUAAGAGGUCCCGCCUGCCCAGUGACACCCAGUUCAACGGCCGCGGUAUUUUGACCGUGCAAAGGUAGCGUAAUCACUUGUCUCUUAAAUGGAGACCUGUAUGAAUGGCAUAACGAGGGCUUAACUGUCUCCUCUCUCAAGUCAAUGAAGUUGAUCUCCCCGUGCAGAAGCGGGGAUAUUCACAUAAGACGAGAAGACCCUAUGGAGCUUGAGACGAUAGGGCAGCCCAUGUUAAGUACCCCCCCCCUCACCGGACCAAACUAAAUGACCCCUGCUCUAAUGUCUUCGGUUGGGGCGACCCUGGGGAAUACAAAACCCCCAUGUGGAAUAGGAGCACCCCCCCCCUUAACUCCUCCAAAUGAGAGCCACACCUCCAAUUAACAGAACUUUUGACCAAAAAUGAUCCGGCAAAGCCGAUCAACGGACCAAGUUACCCUAGGGAUAACAGCGCAAUCCCCUUUUAGAGCCCUUAUCGACAAGGGGGUUUACGACCUCGAUGUUGGAUCAGGACAUCCUAAUGGUGCAGCCGCUAUUAAGGGUUCGUUUGUUCAACGAUUAAAGUCCUACGUGAUCUGAGUUCAGACCGGAGCAAUCCAGGUCAGUUUCUAUCUAUGAAAUGACCUUUUCUAGUACGAAAGGACCGAAAAGGCGAAGCCCCUGCUACAGGCACGCCUCACCCUUACCUGAUGAAAACAUCUAAAACAGGCAAGAGAACAUACCCUCCAACCAUAGAGAAUGGUAA
ensembl:Mt_rRNA